rnacentral:rRNA from 1 species
UGGCGGCAUGCCUUACACAUGGCAAGUCGAACGGCAGGCACGGGUGCUUGCACCUGGUGGCGAGUGGCGAACGGUGAGUAAUAUAUCGGAACGUGCCCAGUCGUGGGGGAUAACGUAGCGAAAGUUACGCUAAUACCGCAUACGAUCUACGGAUGAAANCGGGGGAUCGCAAGACCUCGCGCGAUUGGAGCGGCCGAUAUCAGAUUAGGUAGUUGGUGGGGUAAAGGCUCACCAAGCCAACGAUCUGUAGCUGGUCUGAGAGGACGACCAGCCACACUGGAACUGAGACACGGUCCAGACUCCUACGGGAGGCAGCAGUGGGGAAUUUUGGACAAUGGACGCAAGUCUGAUCCAGCCAUUCCGCGUGCAGGAUGAAGGCCCUCGGGUUGUAAAGCACUUUCAGUGGGGAGGAAGGGGUGAUGCCUAAUACGCAUCAUCAUUGACGUUACCCACAGAAGAAGCACCGGCUAACUCCGUG